rnacentral:sRNA from 2 species
CGCAGGUUCGGGUCGAACGCAGUGAGACAACGGAGCCGUUUACGGCGACGGCCCGAAGGGCGAGCAAAGCGAGUCAUCCUGCACGACCCACCA